AGCAAACUAUAAAUUGGAAUAUAAAAUAUAAAUUGUGGAUCUGUCCUUAUGUUCUCGUGGGAAGUUGAAUAUGUAAUUUGCAAUAUAAGGUAAUUAGAGAAGCACAUUAAAAGUCAUCCUUGCCAGGGAUGUCCACAUCUAAUAAAUAAAAUAGUGAAUUACAGGUAACAGCUCAGCCAGCUUUCCAGGAGGUUCAGAAACCGAAAGCAAGUUACAGGGAAAUAAUGCUGUUGACAUCCAUAGGAUUGUUGAUGCUGUAAUAAAUUAGAGGCCUUCCCUCGAGAGAUUGAGGAUGAUUUGCUUCUAUUCCAAGUCUGUGGGUUCUGCAGGUUCAUUAGACAAUGAUACAGAUACACGUGUACAGUAUAUCUGUAAAUCUGGCUUUGAAGUUUAACAAGAAAGAUCAUAAUUCAACAUACUACUUUAACUGAACAAUGAUAACAAGGCUGGAAGUAUUGUACAUUGGGAUUUUCAAAUUAUAAUUUUUUUCAGUUCACAAGGACUAGAAUAACUGAUGCCUUUUCUGCUCAAUGCUACAUAAAUAUUAUCUACUUAAAGAAUAAAUCUUUUAAACUCAAACUGUUAACAUUUUU